UAGACAUAUAAUUAUGAUGAUUAAUUUUCAGUAUAAAGUAACUGUACACAUUUAUAUCUAUCAUUUUUAUUAAUAGAUCAACUUGGAAACGUAACGUCGAAAUGUGGAAACUUAUUUUAACUAUUUCACUUCUGGUGGUGUUGAAUACAGGUAUCGGCAUGGCCCGAACAUGUAGUAAUUGUCCUGAUAGUGAGCAGGCGAGAUGUUUCGUUAGUCCAUGCCGCGAUCAUAAGUGUCCAUGGGGCACAAGAUGCUGCGAAAACUACUGUGGAGGAUGUUAUUACAAGUGUAUCUACUAAUGGUAUGUCUUGUGAAAUGCCGAAUGAGCACAAUUUAUUCUACUGACAAAACUAAUGUUUGAAAAAAAUUUCAAACACGUUUACGUACAGAAAUAAAGAGUUUAAUCUCCUUAAA